rnacentral:misc_RNA from 1 species
ACACCUCAACUCCUCAUGGUUUGCCAUGAUGGGCUUGGACUUUGGGGGCUUGCUGGCCACUAUGGUCAGCUCCUCUCAAAUGAAUCAGCUUGCCAGUGUUUGGUGGCGUCACAGGUGUGAUAACUAUCUACGCUUGUGGUCUCCCCACCAGGUAACCUUCAGCGAUGGGGGUUCACUGGGGCUCAUAAACGUCUCUCCUCUGUGAGAGACAGCUUUUGAAC